GGGGAAUAUUGGACAAUGGGCGAAAGCCUGAUCCAGCAAUGCCGCGUGAGUGAUGAAGGCCUUAGGGUUGUAAAGCUCUUUUACCAGGGAUGAUAAUGACAGUACCUGGAGAAUAAGCUCCGGCUAACUCCGUGCCAGCAGCCGCGGUAAUACGGAGGGAGCUAGCGUUGUUCGGAAUUACUGGGCGUAAAGCGUGCGUAGGCGGCUAUUCAAGUCAGAGGUGAAAGCCUGGAGCUCAACUCCAGAACUGCCUUUGAAACUAGAUAGCUAGAAUCUUGGAGAGGUGAGUGGAAUUCCGAGUGUAGAGGUGAAAUUCGUAGAUAUUCGGAAGAACACCAGUGGCGAAGGCGACUCACUGGACAAGUAUUGACGCUGAGGUACGAAAGCGUGGGGAGCAAAC
rnacentral:rRNA from 1 species